UACGUAGGGGGCAAGCGUUGUCCGGAUUUAUUGGGCGUAAAGAGCGUGUAGGCGGCUUGGUAGGUCCGCUGUGAAAACUCGAGGCUCAACCUCGAGAUGUCGGCGGAAACCACUUGGCUAGAGUCCGGAAGAGGAGAGUGGAAUUCCCGGUGUAGCGGUGAAAUGCGCAGAUAUCGGGAAGAACACCUAUGGCGAAGGCAGCUCUCUGGGACGGUACUGACGCU
rnacentral:rRNA from 1 species